AUCACCUCGAGAUCUUGUUAAAAUGCAGAUUCUGAUGCAUUAGGUCUGGGGUAAGCUUGAGAUUCUGCAUUUCUAACAAGCUCCUGGUGAUGUCCU
rfam:Otolemur garnettii contig012528, whole genome shotgun sequence.